rnacentral:rRNA from 1 species
GGACUACUGGGGUUUCUAAUCCUGUUUGCUCCCCACACUUUCGAGUUUCAGUGUCAGUCGUGGUCCAGUAAGCCGUCUACACCGCAGGUGUUCCUCCUGAUAUCUACGCAUUUCACCGCUACACCAGGAAUUCCGCCUACCUCUCCCACACUCUAGCGCGACAGUCUUCGGCGCACCCUCCCAGUUGAGCCGGGAGAUUUCACACCAAACUUAUCGCACCACCUACACUCGCUUUACGCCCAGUAAUUCCGAACAACGCUUGCUGCCUACGUAUUACCGCGGCGGCUGGCAC